UGCUGUGGGCUUCUCCAAUAGAAAAAAGCUUUAGGUUCAAGUGGCUUUCCAAACACUUUGUGGCAUAGUAAUGGUAAAAGAAGGCUAUAUAAAUUAUAUUUUAAUUGAUUGGUUGAGUUAUUGAAAUGACUGAUGGCCACUUUUCUCUGUUGAAUGCUUCCUCUCCACAGUGAAGUAAUUGAAUACUCUAUUUCCAAGCUGCUAGACAUUCUGAAGAUUACACAUGAAGAGGCUGUGACUACUGCGAUAAGAUUGCAGGCCUUGGCCCCAAGAGAGCGCUGACUCUGAUCCAGCAGCACCGGACUAUAGAGAACGUAGUACUGAGCAUCAACAGAAAGGUACGUUUCCUCCCUGACCACUGCUCAUAUUACUACAAUACAAAUGACAUGGAGAUUGGUGCAAAUGCGUUUACAGAAGUCUUUAAUAAAACUGGAUUAAACAAACUAUUAAACCAAGGAAAUAAUCAAUGUAAUUUGUUCCCACUUCACAAGAUGAACAUAUAUUAACUAAUAGUUAUUUAAUUUUUCACUCCUAUUGUCAGAGUCGGGUGUAUAGGUGGCAGGGAAGUCAGGCGCAGGAGAAUCAAACUGAGUGUAAUGUAGUUAUUUAAUAACAAAUAAACAAAACAUAUUCCAAACACUAAAUGUAACAAUAAACAAAGUGGGUACGAGGACCUGUCGCGCACCAAUACAAACUCAAUGCAACACUGAAUAACAAACAAUCUCUGACAAAGACAAGAGGGGAAACAGAGGGUUAAAUACACAACAGGUAAUGAAUGGGAUUGAAACCAGGUGUGUAGGAAGACCAGACAAAACCAAUUGAAAAUGAAAAAUGGAUCAAUGAUGGCUAGAAGACCGGUGACGUCGACCGCCGAGCACCGCCCGAACAAGGAGAGGCUUCGACUUCGGCAGAAGUUUGUGACACCUAUGCCUGUCCAUGGACUGUACCUAGAAUAACACUCUCCAACCCUUCCUCCUCCAGAACCACCCUGUCUCACUGUUCUGGCAGUACCAGGAACACCACCCUGACUGAGCCCCCUGACCUGGAUUGAGCCGGAUGAGGAGGCCCUGGUCCAGGUUCUGUGCCAUGAUAAACACGUCAAGUACUGUUCUGGUCCUGUAUAACACCCAUUUGAAAUUAGACCAGGGGUCAAAAUAUAUCAAGCGUCUCAGAGUGCUGAUCUAGGAUCAGGUCCUCCCUGUCCGUGUAAUCUUCUUCGUUGUGCUCUAAAAGCUAAAACUGAGACGUUGGUUACAUGCGACCCCCUUGGUGUGCACAACUCUAAUCAUCUGGAUCUUGCAUUGCAUGUUUUAUGUCCAUGGUAGUAAUGUAAAACUGUAUUCUUCCAUAUGUAUGUGAUAUGUAGGGA
rnacentral:lncRNA from 1 species